rnacentral:lncRNA from 1 species
GGGUACUAGUUCCCUAAACGUGACCUGAUUCCUGGAAGAAGAGGCACCAUAAGCAACAGAGGAAGAUGAUGAUGCAGAAAUGUGGAGAGGUCCUCAGAGGAGACCUGAAGAACCAGUCCCGGGGCAGAGCCCUCUCUGCAGAGGAACCAGUCACAGGGCAGGAAUGGAGGACCUGCUGGUGGUGGACAACUUCUGACAUGUUUGUGUUGGGGUCUUUUCUGAUGACAAGUCGGAAUUGCACCAGGGCCAUCAGGAACAGCAGCGUUUUGGUGAGUGCCAUACCAGUGAGCCACCCUGGGACCUUUGUGCCGGGAAACAAGCCUUGUGGACAGCAUUGAUCUUGGCAGCCCUCCAGGAAAUGACCCCCAGUUACGAUCUUCUCCUGGAGCCCACACCACACCAGCUCCAAGCCAGGGGACCAUGCCACAUGCAAACUUGGCAGAAGAAUCUUUAGCAACCAAGUAGUUCUCAGGAGACAUGAGCAAUUCUGUACCAGAAAGAGGCCCUUUAGCUGUGCACAGUGCAUCAGUACCACACAGCUCUCACGCCACGCUUCAGCAGACACCUGAUGCUCUGGUGAGUGGUAUGCCACCGCUGUUCUACGCCAUGAGGAAGGGGAGAGAAUACACAAGUGGGCUCGUGAAACAGCAAAAUCUUUUAUUAUUCCAACUAUGUAAGUGGAGUCGCUGAUUGAUCAGGACGACCAGAUGAGGACUCAGGAGCCUUGCUUCUUCUGGCAGCCAGGGUUUACAUGCAAGCAUCUGACCCAAGUUACAGUUCUAAUUCUCACUAAUAAGGAUUUAGGGAUUAGAAACUUUGCCCAGUGUUGUUCCAUCAUUUUCAACUGAUAUUGAAUUUAAGUUGUUUUACCCAGCCAGUCAAAUUCAUUUCUUCCUUCUGUUGUUAGGAACAGGCAUUAUGUUUUAGGGGACUAUUGCUGCUUAGAGAGGGAGUCGGUUAGCUUAGGUGAAGUAGAGUCUGAAGUUAAAAUGAUAGUAUGUAAGACAUGUUCUGUUUUGUUUUUGCCUGUUCCAUGCUCCCAACAGUAAGAAGUCUCUGAUGGGCAGUAAAGAUAAGAAUUCCCUGGACUAAGUAGGCAGCCGAGGGCCAGGGUGUGGGGACACAGCUUGCAGUGCCCAUGCAGCAAAGCCUCAAAGCU